AUGGAAACAGCCACGGUACUGCCGCCGGAUGUGGCGCUAGCGCACGCGGUGACACAGCAGGCGCCUCCUACUGCUCCGGUGGCCACGGCUGCUGAUGCUCAUGCUCCGCCCACCCGAGCGUACAAGCGACUGUGGACGUCCACAAUCACUGGUGCCCCACCAGUGGUGCCAGUGGCAAUGGCUCCUACUAGCGGUGUUCCGGCUAGAGCUAGAGAAUCUCUAAUCACGUCGUCUCCCGAUCAGCUCUACCACAUGCUCCGGCUCGGGCUUAGGUGCGGGCGGGGGAACGCCGACCUGUACUCCGGCCGAGUCGACCAAUGCCAGUGCCAGGCCAAGCCACAUGGCAAACUCGUCGAGUUGGGAGUCCUCGAGAGCCUUCUUAUAAGCCUCGUUGGCCUCCGCCUUGGCUUCCACCUCAACCGCCAGUUGUGGCGAUGGAGCGCAUGGCGGAUUGGGAGCAUGCGCACACGCACUCGGAGGACUAGGAGCAUGCACAAGAGCGGCCAAGAAAGACCGACGACGUUGGUCGUGCUCGUCGACGAACCAAGCAAGGAGCUGAGCUCGGUGGCGAUGAAUCUCGGCCUCACACGCGCGGUCGGAAGCCAGAAAGAUCGACAUAGGAAUCCUAUCCGGGUUCAUAUGCCAGUUGUUCGACCAAUGGACAUCGGGCCAUGGCACAGGGUUGGCCUCCUCCCAGUACCGCUGGCACUAGUCGACCCGACUGGCGUCACAAUGAGGGGUGCCGCGCGGCGGCGGCGCCCUGAGGAAGAGUCGGCCUCAUGGUCGUGCUUCCCAGCCAUCCAGGGAAUCCACCUCCCACAACAUCGGGAGGAAGGGCCCCACCCCACUGAAAAUCAGGUGGGGAGAGGUUCCUCACUUUACGCAGCUCCGAACCCCCGGCCGCCGCAUCCUCCCUGCUGCUCGCCCAGUCGCCCCCCGCCGUCCCGCCGGAACCCCGCUGGCUCCAUCUGGACUGCGGGUCCCGCCACGCACUGGUGGCCCUAG
rnacentral:rRNA from 1 species